rnacentral:rRNA from 1 species
UGGGGAAUAUUGCACAAUGGGCGAAAGCCUGAUGCAGCGACGCCGCGUGAGGGAUGACGGCCUUCGGGUUGUAAACCUCUUUCAGCAGGGACGAAGCGCAAGUGACGGUACCUUCAGAAGAAGCACCGGCUAACUACGUGCCAGCAGCCGCGGUAAUACGUAGGGUGCAAGCGUUGUCCGGAAUUACUGGGCGUAAAGAGUUCGUAGGCGGUUUGUCGCGUCGUUUGUGAAAACCAGCAGCUCAACUGCUGGCUUGCAGGCGAUACGGGCAGACUUGAGUACUGCAGGGGAGACUGGAAUUCCUGGUGUAGCGGUGAAAUGCGCAGAUAUCAGGAGGAACACCGGUGGCGAAGGCGGGUCUCUGGGCAGUAACUGACGCUGAGGAACGAAAGCGUGGGUAGCGAACAGG